UACGGAGGGUGCAAGCGUUGUUCGGAAUUACUGGGCGUAAAGGGCGCGUAGGCGGCCUUCUAAGUCGAACGUGAAAUCCCUGGGCUCAACCCAGGAACUGCGUCCGAUACUGGAAGGCUUGAAUCCGGGAGAGGGAUGCGGAAUUCCAGGUGUAGCGGUGAAAUGCGUAGAUAUCUGGAGGAACACCGGUGGCGAAGGCGGCAUCCUGGACCGGUAUUGACGCUGAGGCGCGAAAGCCAGGGGAGCAAACGGG
rnacentral:rRNA from 1 species